rnacentral:tRNA from 1 species
GCGCCCAUAGCUCAAUUGGAUAGAGCAGGGGACUUCUAAUCCUCAGGUUGGCCGUUCGAUUCGGCCUGGGCGCG